ensembl:snRNA U6 U6 spliceosomal RNA
GUGCUCGCUUCACCAGCACAUAUACUAAAAUUGGCACUAUACACAGAAGAUUAGCAUGGUCCCUGCAUAAAGAUGAUAAACAAAUUUGUGAAGUGUUCAAUAAAAAA